rnacentral:rRNA from 1 species
UACGGAGGAUCCAAGCGUUAUCCGGAUUUAUUGGGUUUAAAGGGUGCGUAGGCGGCCUGUUAAGUCAGGGGUGAAAGACGGUAGCUCAACUAUCGGCAGUGCCCUUGAUACUGAUGGGCUUGAAUACACUAGAGGUAGGGCGGAAUGUGACAAGUAGCGGUGAAAAUGCAUAGAUAUGUCACAGAACACCGAUUGCGAAGGCAGCUUACUAUGGUGUCAUUGACGCUGAGGCACGAAAGCGUGGGGAUCAAACAGG